GUGAUUCUGUCCUGCGCGGCUGCUCGUUUGAACAGAAGUUGUUUAAUCCUGUCAAGCUUCUCUCCCACAUGAGUGCAUGCCGCCAACCCAUGGAGGAUUCAAUGGACAUGGACAUGAGGCCCUUGAGGCCCCAGAACUAUCUUUUCGGUUGUGAACUAAAGGCUGACAGAGAUUAUCACUUCAAGGUGGAUAAUGAUGAAAAUGAGCACCAGUUAUCUUUAAGAAUGGUCAGUUUAGGGGCUGGAGCAAAGGAUGAGUUACACAUUGUUGAAGCAGAGAUGAUGAAUGAUGAAGGCAGUCCAAUUAAAGCAACACUGGAAAAUUUGAAAAUGUCUGUACAGCCAAUGGUUCUUCUUGGGGGCUUUGAAAUUACACCACCUGUGGUCUUACCAUUGAAAUGUGGUUCAGGGCCUGUGCAUAUUAGUGGACAGCACUUAGUAGCUGUGGAGGAAGAGGCAGGGUCAGAAGAUGAAGAGGAGAAGGAUGUGAAACUCCUAAGUAUAUCUGGAAAGUGUCCUGCCCCUGGAAGUGGUAGCAAGUUUCCUCAGAAAAAAGUAAAGCUUGCUGCUGAUGAAGAUGACGAUGAUGUUGAAGAUGACGACGAUGAUGAUGAAGAUGAUGAUGAUGAUGACGAUUUUGAUGAGGAAGUUGAAGAAAAAACUCCAGUAAGGAAAUGUGUGCAAGAUACUCCAGCCAAAAAUGCACAAAAAUCGAACCAAAAUGGAAAAGACUCAAAAUCAUCAACACCAAGAUCAAAAGGUCAAGAAUCCUUCGAAAAACAGGAAAAAACACCUAAAACACCGAAAGGACCUAGCUCUGUAGAAGACAUUAAGCAAAAUGCAAGCAAGUAUAGAAAAAGGUGGUCCCCUCCCAAAGUGGAAGCCAAGUUUAUCAAUUAUGUGAAGAAUUGGUUCCAGAUGACUGACCAGGAGGCUAUUCAAGAUCUCUGGCAGUGGAGG